UACUGAAAGAAGGAAAAUCAU
rnacentral:rRNA from 1 species